rnacentral:rRNA from 1 species
ACGCUCGACACCUACGAGGCAGCAGUGGGGAAUAUUGCACAAUGGGGGAAACCCUGAUGCAGCGACGCCGCGUGAGCGAAGAAGUAUCUCGGUAUGUAAAGCUCUAUCAGCAGGGAAGAAGAUGACGGUACCUGACUAAGAAGCACCGGCUAAAUACGUGCCAGCAGCCGUGGUAAUCUGAGCGGGCUGGCAAGGC